GACGAACGCUGGCGGCGUGCCUAAUACAUGCAAGUCGAACGCAGUGGGGACGGGUGAGUAACACGUGGGUAACCUCCCAUCAGAGGGGAUACCACUUGGAAACACGUGCUAAACCGAUACUGAUGGAUGGACCCGCGGUGCAUUAGCUAGUUGGUGAGGUAACGGCUCACCAAGGCCACGAUGCAUAGCCGACCGGAGAGGCGGAUCGGCGACCCGGGGACUGAGACACGGGCCAGACUCCUACGGGAGGCAGGCGUAGGGAGUCUUCGGCAAUGGACGAAAGUCUGACCGAGCCACGCCGCGUGAGUGAAGAAGGUUUUCGGAUCGUAGGACUCUGUUGUCAGAGGAGCGGUAGCUAACCAGAAAGCCACGGCUAACUACGUGCCAGCAGCCGCGGUAAUAC
rnacentral:rRNA from 1 species